UGAUAGUUGGAUCCUGGA
rnacentral:misc_RNA from 1 species